rnacentral:rRNA from 1 species
UACCAGCUCUUCGAGUGGUGUGGAUGUUUAUUGGGCCUAAAGCAUCCGCAGCUGGCUGGGCAAGUCCCCUGUUAAAUCCACCGAUUUAAUCGUUGGAGUGCGGGGGAUACUGUUCGGCUAGGGGACGGGAGAGGCAGACGGUAUUUUCGGGGUAGGGGUGAAACCCUAUAAUCCCGGGAAGACCACCAGUGGCGAAGGCUGUCUGCUAGAACGCGCCCGACGGUGAGGGAUGAAAGCUGGGGGAGCGAACCGGAUUAGAUACCCGGGUAGUCCCAGCUGUAAACGAUGCAGGCUAGGUGUUUGGGCGGCCACGUGCCGCUCUAGUGCCGCAGGGAAGCCGUUAAGCCUGCCGCCUGGGGAGUACGGCCGCAAGGCUGAAACUUAAAGGAAUUGGCGGGGGAGCACCACAAGGGGUGAAGCUUGCGGUUU